CAAAAGUAACGCGUGCAACGAGCAUAGAUGAUCCUAUCUGUUUUUCUUCUCUGCAAUUUGAUCAUAACUUAUUGAGUUCAAAGCGAAAAAGUUUUGAUUUCCGUUUUGUAGUUGGAAACCCUAGCUGCUGGAGUACUGAUGGAUCGGAUUUCACGCCUUCCUGAAUACAUUGUUCACCACAUACUCUCUUUUCUUGAUCCUUUUAAUGGUCCUCCUGUAGAGUUUGUUCGAAUGAGUGUACUCUCCAAGACCUGGUUUAACCUAACCGCUUCUUUCCAUAUCUUAGAUUUCAGUAUCUAUAGAUUUGGAUUUUCACAGCGAGAAAGCUUUUUCAAGUAUGUUGAGUAUACCACCUCUAGAUUUUGCCAUCAUAAUCUCCCUGCACACACCUUCAAGCUCAUUACAUGUAUCCGGAAUCCUGCCGAAUUAGUUGUUGUUAACAGAUGCCUUGAACUAGUUCUUAAGAAUGGCGUCAGGGAGUUGCUGAUAAGUAUUACCUACUCAUCAGUUUCAAAGUACUGUUUGCCUAACACACUUUUAUCUGUUUCCCUGUUAAGAUCUUUGACCGUACGCGACUGUGCCUUGCCUUCUUCCUUCAUGCUUGAUGCUCUCAAGUUUGAGUCUUUGAUUUAUUUGGAACUCGCAAACGUCCAUAUAGAUGAUGAAGUGAUCAAGUAUAUCACCACUAGCUGCCCUGUUCUACAAGAGUUUAAGAUUAGUUAUUGCUAUGGUUUCAAAAGAUUUUGUGUUUAUGGACACCAAAAUCUUCAAAAUGUUGUUAUUGACGUUGACAUCCCAAUUGAAAUAAUAGGUAUUGAAGCUCCAAAUCUAACUACUCUUGAGGUAUCUGGAAUACAGCCACCGCAAAUGAGCUUGGUUUCAUGCAAAAAGCUAACAUCAGUGUCUUACAAUGGGUAUUCGAAUGAUUUUCCCAAUUUCUUAUCAAACUUCCCCUUGGUUGAAAAUUUGACUUUGGUUUCUGAAUCUGGAUGCAAGAGCCUCAAGUUGUCAAGUCAUUCCUUGAGGACACUGCUGUUGCAUUCACACUGUGAUUUGGAAAAAAUUGAGUUAAGUACCCCCAAUUUGGGUGUAUUUAUUUACUCUCGUAGUGCUUGGUAUCCCUACCCUGAGAUACGGCAUUUACCCCAUUUAAAAGAAUGUAUGCGAUGCUAUCCCGAUCGCUAUAUAGAUGCUCGUUGGUUCCAGAAGUUGAGGCUAUUUUUAGACAAAAAAAAUGGUUUUAAAGCUUUGAACUUGUAUAUUUGCACGGAUCAGUAUAUUGUCUUGCAGAAAUUCAUGGUGUUAGAAAAGAUGAAGGAGAUUGAGUUGCCACCUUAUGAACUCGAGCAUAUUGAGCUACAUUUUGAGCAGCAUAAAGAAUCAUCAGAUCAUGCGGCUUUUGUGGAUGCACUACUUAAUAAUUUCCGUCCUCGAUCUCUAACCUUAAGGUCAUCCUUUCCUUUAACUGAUUUUGAAGAACAAAGUGCUCUUGUCAAGUUUACUUACGAGAAGCUCCUUAAACAAGAAAAUCAAGACCAUAUCAAUGUUCAUAUUGUAUCGCCUUACUCUUCCAAAGCACAAAAGCAGUUUAGGGGCUUAAUGUUAUUGCCAGAGCCAUUACCUCGUGAAGAAAAAGCAAUUAGCUUUAUAAAGGAAGAAGACGUCCAAGAAGAAGCAGGAUGAUGAAACAAGUCAAAAGGCAUUUGGAUAUGGAGAUUUUCUGAUGCAUUGGGUAUUUGGAUUUAGGAAAGGGCGGUCAAAAUAAGGGCAAAAUCAAGAAACAAAAUUCACUGCAACAUAGCUUCAUCUUUCACAGCCAAACGAAACAUUAGGGCAAAAUCAAGAAAAAAACGAGAAUCGAAAAAUUACCUGCUGUGGGGAUCUCGACGGGAGUGACGGGGAAGAAGAUGCAGGUUGGGCUGUGAAGAUCUCGACGGAGGUGACGGGGAAGAAGAUGCACGUCGGGCUGUGGAGAAUCGAUGGAGGUCGCUGUGGGGAUGAAGGUGGCUAUGGAGUAUCUAGGGUUUUGAGAUGUGUUUUGAAGUGCAGAGUGUAGAAGAUGUGAAGAUGUGAGGCCAUGUCUGUUUGAGGAAGAGGUUUGGAAGAGGUUUUUUAAUGAAAUCACUUCCAGAAAACAAACAAGCUGUAGACUCAAACGUCUGCGCGUGGUCUGCGUGGGGUAGACAUAAGAGUUUCUGAAGUGCUUUUCACAAAAAACAAACACCCCCUAUAUUUGCACCAGUUUGACCAAUCCAAAUGUUGUAUUUUCUUCCUAUAGCAAUAUAAAUGCGUUGAUCGAAUACAACACCU